rnacentral:rRNA from 1 species
AUUGAACGCUGGCGGCAGGCCUAACACAUGCAAGUCGAACGGUAACAGGAAGCAGCUUGCUGCUUUGCUGACGAGUGGCGGACGGGUGAGUAAUGUCUGGGAAACUGCCUGAUGGAGGGGGAUAACUACUGGAAACGGUAGCUAAUACCGCAUAACGUCGCAAGACCAAAGAGGGGGACCUUCGGGCCUCUUGCCAUCGGAUGUGCCCAGAUGGGAUUAGCUAGUAGGUGGGGUAACGGCUCACCUAGGCGACGAUCCCUAGCUGGUCUGAGAGGAUGACCAGCCACACUGGAACUGAGACACGGUCCAGACUCCUACGGGAGGCAGCAGUGGGGAAUAUUGCACAAUGGGCGCAAGCCUGAUGCAGCCAUGCCGCGUGUAUGAAGAAGGCCUUCGGGUUGUAAAGUACUUUCAGCGGGGAGGAAGGGAGUAAAGUUAAUACCUUGGCUCAUUGACGUUACCCGCAGAAGAAGCACCGGCUAACUCCGUG